rnacentral:lncRNA from 10 species
AUUUACUCACUUUCCAAACCUUUAUGAAACACUAGAAUGGUGCCUGGCACAUAGCAGCUGCUCUGUAGGGCUGUGAAAGGGAUAGAUGUGGCCUCUGCUCUCAAGAUAUUGUUGUGUCUGGCUCUCACCGUCAGCCUGUGACCACUGCCUUAGGGCACUAGAGAAGGCAGAGGAGAAUGCCCAGAGGCUGACCGGGAAACCAGGCCAGGUUCUGCCUCACCCAGAGCUGUGCACUGUGCGCAAAGACCUCCACCAGAACUGUCCCCAUUGCCAAGUGAUGUACUGCAGUGCAGAAUGUCGGUUGGCAGCCACUGAGCAAUACCACCAGGUCCUGU